UACGUAGGUGGCAAGCGUUAUCCGGAUUUAUUGGGUGUAAAGGGCGUGUAGGCGGGAGCGCAAGUCAGAUGUGAAAACUCAGGGCUCAACCCUGAGCCUGCAUUUGAAACUGUGUUUCUUGAGUGCUGGAGAGGCAAUCGGAAUUCCGUGUGUAGCGGUGAAAUGCGUAGAUAUACGGAGGAACACCAGUGGCGAAGACGGAUUGCUGGACAGUAACUGACGCUGAGGCGCGAAAGCGUGGGGAGCAAACAGG
rnacentral:rRNA from 1 species